ensembl:snRNA U6 U6 spliceosomal RNA
GUGCUCGCUUCGGCAGCACAUAUACUAAAAUUGGAACGGUACAGAGAAGAUUAGCAUGGCCCCUGCGCCAGGAUGACACGCAAAGUGGAAGGAGUGUUCGGAUCUUUC